GUCCACGCUGUAAACGAUGAAUGCUAUAUGUCGGAUUUUUUUUCGGUGUUGAAGCUAACGCAAUAAGCAUUCCGCCUGGGGACUACGGUCGCAAGAUUAAAACUCAAAGGAAUUGACGGGGGCCCGCACAAGUGGUGGAGCAUGUGGUUUAAUUCGACAAUACGCGAAGAAACUUACCAGCCCUUGACAUAUUGAUCAUAGAAUUUGGAGACUUAUUCGUCGGUUCGGCCGGAUCUUUACAGGUGUUGCAUGGCU
rnacentral:rRNA from 1 species